AUCACGUACGAUCACCGAAGUUAAGCAACGUCGAGCCCUGUCAGUACCUAGAUGGGUGACCGCUUGGGAAUACCGGGUACU